GGGGAAUAUUGGACAAUGGGCGAAAGCCUGAUCCAGCAAUGCCGCGUGGGUGAAGAAGGUCUUCGGAUUGUAAAGCCCUUUCGGCGGGGACGAUGAUGACGGUACCCGCAGAAGAAGCCCCGGCUAACUUCGUGCCAGCAGCCGCGGUAAUACGAAGGGGGCUAGCGUUGCUCGGAAUGACUGGGCGUAAAGGGCGCGUAGGCGGCGCACUUAGUCAGGCGUGAAAGUCCUGGGCUCAACCUGGGGACGGCGCUUGAUACGGGUGUGCUUGAGUGUGGAAGAGGGUUGUGGAAUUCCCAGUGUAGAGGUGAAAUUCGUAGAUAUUGGGAAGAACACCGGUGGCGAAGGCGGCAACCUGGUCCAUUACUGACGCUGAGGCGCGAAAGCGUGGGGAGCAAAC
rnacentral:rRNA from 1 species